AGAGUUUGAUCAUGGCUCAGGACGAACGCUGGCGGCGCGCCUAACACAUGCAAGUCGAACGGACGAAGGGAGCUUGCUCCCCGAGUUAGUGGCGGACGGGUGAGUAACACGUGAGCAACCUGCCUUUCAGAGGGGGACAACAGUUGGAAACGACUGCUAAUACCGCAUAACGUGGCUUGGGGGCAUCCCCGGGCUACCAAAGAUUUAUCGCUGAAAGAUGGGCUCGCGUCUGAUUAGAUAGUUGGUGAGGUAACGGCCCACCAAGUCGACGAUCAGUAGCCGGACUGAGAGGUUGAACGGCCACAUUGGGACUGAGACACGGCCCAGACUCCUACGGGAGGCAGCAGUGGGGGAUAUUGGACAAUGGGGGAAACCCUGAUCCAGCGACGCCGCGUGAGGGAAGAAGGUUUUCGGAUUGUAAACCUCUGUUGACAGGGAAGAAAAUGACAGUACCUGUUCAGAAAGCCACGGCUAACUACGUGCCAGCAGCCGCGGUAAUACGUAGGUGGCAAGCGUUGUCCGGAAUUACUGGGUGUAAAGGGAGCGUAGGCGGGGCGGCAAGUCAGAAGUGAAAAUCAUGGGCUCAACUCAUGACCUGCUUUUGAAACUGUUGCUCUUGAGUGAAGUAGAGGCAAGCGGAAUUCCUAGUGUAGCGGUGAAAUGCGUAGAUAUUAGGAGGAACACCAGUGGCGAAGGCGGCUUGCUGGGCUUUUACUGACGCUGAGGCUCGAAAGCGUGGGGAGCAAACAGGAUUAGAUACCCUGGUAGUCCACGCUGUAAACGAUGAUUACUAGGUGUGGGGGGAUUGACCCCUUCCGUGCCGCAGUUAACACAAUAAGUAAUCCACCUGGGGAGUACGACCGCAAGGUUGAAACUCAAAGGAAUUGACGGGGGCCCGCACAAGCAGUGGAGUAUGUGGAUUAAUUCGAAGCAACGCGAAGAACCUUACCGGGUCUUGACAUCGAGUGACCGCUCAAGAGAUUGAGCCUUCUCUUCGGAGACACGAAGACAGGUGGUGCAUGGUUGUCGUCAGCUCGUGUCGUGAGAUGUUGGGUUAAGUCCCGCAACGAGCGCAACCCUUAUCUUCAGUAGCCAGCGGUCCGGCCGGGCACUCUGGAGAGACUGCCAGGGAUAACCUGGAGGAAGGUGGGGACGACGUCAAAUCAUCAUGCCCCUUAUGAUCUGGGCGACACACGUGCUACAAUGGCAGUUACAGAGUGAGGCGAACCCGCGAGGGGGAGCGAACCACAAAAAGGCUGUCCCAGUUCGGACUGCAGUCUGCAACCCGACUGCACGAAGCUGGAAUCGCUAGUAAUCGCAAAUCAGAAUGUUGCGGUGAAUACGUUCCCGGGUCUUGUACACACCGCCCGUCACACCAUGGGAGUCGGAAAUGCCCGAAGCCAGUGACCCAACCAAUAGGAGGGAGCUGUCGAAGGUGGAGCCGGUGACUGGGGUGAAGUCGUAACAAGGUAGCCGUA
rnacentral:rRNA from 1 species